CAUAAUAACCUAAUCUUUCUCCUCAGCACACAGAUGCCCUCUUGGGCUUCCCAUCCAGGUCCAUUUUCUGUGUAGUAGCCAAAAGUCUUUUAAAGAACCAUUUAUUGACUUAUUUUACUAUGUUUUAUAUACAUUAUCUACAUUGUCUCCUUACUUCACAGACACCUGGAGAAAAUAUCCUGAAGUGUGGGUGGCCCCCUAAGCAGCAAAAUUAUUGCUAAUAGAAGCAUUUCGUUAUAACAGCAUCUCAUUAUCACAUGCAGGGCAUUAAUCGAAGCACCUUAUUUAAGGUGGGAAAGAGCUUUGCUGUGGGAAGAUGAUUUAGCACAGUAUCUUCUGAUGAGUGAUGUCAUCUCAAAUCCUUUUCAGAUACAGAAGAAUGCUUCUUAUCUGCAGCAGAUCCACAUUGCCUGACCGUUUGGGUCCUGCAUGGCACACGUUUCGUACACGUGCUGCCUCCACCAGUAUCAAGCACUGCUGAGUUUGUGUGGAAGGGCAACAACUCCACCUAACAAAUACAUUCAUCUGGAAAGAGGCAAGAAGGGAAAGAGAUUCUGAUACUGAAGCUACUAUUUAUUAUUUGUAAAUCAAUUUGACACCUUUGGAACCAAAGCAGCAACCCAAGAACAAAGUAUGAUUUAGCCUCAAGUGUAAAGUGAGCCACUACCAAGAUGUUCCUGCCAGUGACUCUGCCUCAGGUGUCCUGGAAAAGCUGCUGUGGACAGUUGUGACCUGGCUAAUCAACUGGACAGGAAAAAGCUACUAACAAUAAAACAGAGGCCAAAAUUCUUGUUAGCA
rnacentral:lncRNA from 1 species